GAUGAACGCUAGCUACAGGCUUAACACAUGCAAGUCGAGGGAACGGCGUACGGGUGAGUAACGCGUAUCCCACCUUCCCAUUACUGAGGGAUAACCUGCCGAAAGGCAGACUGAUAACGCAUAGUACUGGCUGGGGAUGCGUAUGAUUAGCUGGUUGGCGGGGUACAGGCCGACCAAGGGUACGAUCAGUAGGGGUUCUGAGAGGAAGGUCCCCCACAUUGGAACUGAGACACGGUCCAAACUCCUACGGGAGGCAGCAGUGAGGAAGAUUGGUCAAUGGACGGAAGUCUGAACCAGCCAAGUAGCGUGCAGGAUGACGGCCUAUGGGUUGUAAACUGCUUUUGUAUGGGGAUAGGUACCAUAUGAAUAAGGACCGGCUAAUUCCGUGCCAGCAGCCGCGGUAAUAC
rnacentral:rRNA from 1 species